UACAGAGGUCUCAAGCGUUGUUCGGAUUCAUUGGGCGUAAAGGGUGCGUAGGCGGCGCGGUAAGUCGGGUGUGAAAUCUCUGGGCUUAACUCCGAAACUGCAUUCGAUACUGCCGUGCUUAAGGACUGGAGAGGAGACUGGAAUUUACGGUGUAGCGGUGAAAUGCGUAGAUAUCGUAAGGAAGACCAGUGGCGAAGGCGGGUCUCUGGACAGUUCCUGACACUGAGGCACGAAGGCCAGGGGAGCAAACGGG
rnacentral:rRNA from 1 species